rnacentral:rRNA from 1 species
GAUGAACGCUGGCGGCGUGCCUAAUACAUGCAAGUCGAGCGAACAGACGAGGAGCUUGCUCCUCUGACGUUAGCGGCGGACGGGUGAGUAACACGUGGAUAACCUACCUAUAAGACUGGGAUAACUUCGGGAAACCGGAGCUAAUACCGGAUAAUAUAUUGAACCGCAUGGUUCAAUAGUGAAAGACGGUUUUGCUGUCACUUAUAGAUGGAUCCGCGCCGCAUUAGCUAGUUGGUAAGGUAACGGCUUACCAAGGGAACGAUGCGUAGCCGAACUGAGAGGGUGAUCGGCCACACUGGAACGGAGACACGGUCCAGACUCCUACGGGAGGCAGCAGUAGGGAAUCUUCCGCAAAGGGCGAAAGCUUGACGGAGCAACGCCGCGUGAGUGAUGAAGGUCUUCGGAUCGUAAAACUCUGUUAUUAGGGAAGAACAAAUGUGUAAGUAACUAUGCACGUCUUGACGGUACCUAAUCAGAAAGCCACGGCUAACUACGUG